AUCUAUCUCCAUCAUCAGAAAAAUAACCAUACCAAGUAAAAUUCACACACACACACACACACACGAUAUAUAUGUGUGCAUAUGUGUGUGUAUGCAUGAGUGCAUGUGUGUGUGGGUGUGCAUGUGUGUUUGUUAAAAGUCACAGUUCAACAUGAGCCAUCAACCCCAGUCCCCAAAUCUUUAUUGUUUGAGUUAUAGCGGCACGGCCAUAGCCUGUGUUAGAUGGUCUAUUUGACAAUGUCUCUCUGAUUAUUAAAAAUCUAAACCUUUUGGGAUAGUAUAAACAAGAGCCUACUUUUCUAAAUCCAUUUCCAAAACCUUAGCAUGUUGGCAGAGUUUCUGUUUCCAAACAGCAGCGAGUGCCCCCAGGUUAAACAUUACACCUGACCCUUCACUGAGAGCAUCUCUAGUAUGACAUGGACCGACUGGCCAGGGUUUCUCCCCACCCCCACCCCUUUAUUUUUUCUUUUCUUUCUUUUUUUGUGGUGAAAGGGUAUUACAUUAUGAUACAGCAAUCUGGCUUUGUAAAAAAUAGUUUUUAUUGUAUAUGGACAUUUUGACAUGGUAUUACCUUCUCCUUUCAAAUGUGCCAAGAGAUUAAGGAAUGAUCUGGGGGCCUGAGAAGCAACAGGUGCUGGUUCUGCAGGAAGCAAGUUCUAGGCUUACUCUCUGCGGUUUAGGUGAAAAAAAAAAAGUCUACAUAAUGCUACACCUUCCCGAUGUGGGGGACCCAGAGUCAGUGUGCAUAUAGCCCCAAGUAAUGCUCUCUCUGCGAUGGAAGAAGCCCCAUCUUUCUAUUAUAGCUCAGAAGAAAGGAGCUGCAGGCUUGAACGAGGAAGUAUUGUGGGACAGGAAGCUUUCCUUUCCCUGAGCUAAGAAAAGAUCUGAAGUACUAUCAUAUGCUCAAAGACGUCUACAGUCAAGCAGAAGUGUGUCACUUCAUGUUAUUUGGUAGUUACCUAAGGGAGGGUCUUACAAGCAGUAAUGUGCCUAUGCGGAUAUUAGAAAUCUGCUUGAUAAUAAAGGCCCACUAGUAGGAGAAAUGUGGCUUAGUGGACAGUUGUGAAAUAUCAACAAACAACAACAAAUAUGUAUUUUGAAGUACAUAUUCAAUACCGAGUGGAUUAGUACCAGAGCAUGAAUCAUUAAAAUAUAAAACUACUUGGUCUUUUCUUUUAGAGCAUCUUCAAAACAUAGCUGCAAAGGAAAUUGGCGAACUGUGUAUUCUACCUAAAUACAGAGUUGUGUUCUUCAGGAACAAAGAUGUAGCACGCUUGUGACUAAGAAAGGUGUGAUUGGGACAGAGAAAGGUGGAAUGGCUGAGGAAGGGUGUGAUUUCAGAAGAGAAAUAAAUCAAGUGGUUUUUUUUUUAACAAUUUGCUGGUCUGUAUGAAGCUUAUUACAGUCUCUAGAGCGGAUGAACACUUAGGAUUAAAAAUCAGAGCUUAUAUCUGUUAUUGAUUGAAUACAGCAAUGUGAUUAGCUUCAAGUUUCCUUCUCCUCAAACUGUAAAACUUAAUAGUUUUAAACUCAUUUCAACACUGGUAACUUUAAACACAUGGCUCCACCUAAGACACAAUUAGGUGUUCUGUAGGGAGAAAUUGGAUCUAAUCUUUUACCCUCAAGAUCAGAGACCAGGCUCCUAUAAACUUGUAUAAAUGGAACCUUUGUCAUUAUUAUACUGAAGGCAGCAGUUCCGUUAGAGAAAGCCAGGGUAGAUACUCAUGAUACUCAUGAUGCCCCACCUUGAAGAAUCCAAUCAUUCAAGGUAUCUGGGCCCCACCCCUGACGCUGCCUCUGACCCCGCCCCGUCCAGUUCCCGCCCCCGCAUGUGGACUUUCAGUGCCAGUCAGUCCAAUGGUUGAGAUUAGGAACACAGAACAAUCGAUAUUAGCGGGCGAUCCUUGAUUAGAAUUUGACCUCAGACAGUUUGGGUCAAUAUUUAAAGAUUAUUCAGAUGAAAGUUGUUUUUAAAGGCAGCUUCAAUGGACUGAGCGGUAAGUGGUACGGUUCCAUGUGAACAGUCACCAGUAGAUCUUUCUCUAACAACCUCUACUUCUGCUUCAUUAUCAUGAAUCACAAUAGACACAGAAGUGACCCCUGUUAGCAUAAAACAUGUUAUAUUACAAAUUCUUUAAAUGCCGGUUUUUGUGCUUGCUGAGAAUCAAACACAGGGCUCGCCUCACACAUUCAAGACAAGUACUUCACCACUCAAUUCGAUUGCCAGCCCUUUCUUUUCAUAAUUAAUACAUGUGAAGAUGUUAUAUAUGUACAUAUUUUACAUUGGUUUAUUACUUAAAUGAAAUAGAAGCAGAAGCUCAUGCAAUGAAUUAAAUAUUUUUUGUAUUUUCUGGUCAAAAUGGCAAAUACAGAAAAAUUAAGUAUAAAAUCUGACAUCAGAAUUAUCAGUAAUGUGGAAGAACUAAUGUUUCUGUGCACAAAAAUAAUUGUAUUUAUAUCACAAGAUUUCCAAAUUAAAAAUAUUGUUAAUUGACACUUUAAGUCAGCACUAUAAAAUGUUAUUAUGAACUAUUAUCAAAUAUUUAGGAUUUUAAUUUUGGGAUUGUAUUUCAAAUAUAUUAUGUCCUUCAACGUUUUAUUCUGUGUAAAAAAAAUUUCAGCCUAUUCUUCCGGUUUAGUAAAUAUAUUGAGAUUAUAUUUAAUAAAUAUCCCUUUUU
rnacentral:lncRNA from 1 species